GGCUCUCACUCCACACUUUCUCUCUCCUAGGGUUUUUCUCUCUCCUCCUCCAAGUUCGGGAUCCUCGAGAUCGGCUCAUGGCCGCCGUGGCAACAGUCACUGAGAAUGCGACGGAGUUGAUGGGUAAGUUGGCUCUAGAUACUAAGAGCAAGCCCCAUGCUGCUCUGGAUAAUACUAAGAAGACUGGGCUAAACCAGCCGUAUGAGCGAUCUCUAACUCCAUUACUUCAGGAGUAUAUGGACUCGAACAAUAUGUGCUACAUGCCUACCGGAUACCCAUCGACCACAUAUUACUAUGAUGGUUAUAAUGGGUCCGGAAAUGAAUGGGAGAAUUACUCUAGAUACGUCACAGCGGAAGGAGUGGAGAUGCCGCCUCCUGGACAUUAUGAGGAUAUGUAUCACCAAGGAUAUGGCUAUGCACCUUAUGGUGUAUACCCUUCUCCUGGUUCCCCAAUUCCAACCAUGGGGCAUGAUGGCCAGAUAUACGGCCCUCAGCACUACCAGUAUCCCGCUACAUACUACCAACCUUCGACUACUGCAGUUACACAGUACGCUCCUAAUCUGGCCCCUCCUCAAGGAGAAGUUUCUACCUCUACUGCACCGGUCCAUCCAACUAUUUCUGUAGAGACCGUCAAACCAAAACUGAAUGAAAUUCCCAAUGGGAACCCAAAUGGGAACAGUGGACCAGCACCACCAAAGCCUGGCCAACAUAAUCCAUCGUUGUCCUUGAAUGGCUUGUACGGCCGAGGUGUGUUAUCCACUGGCCAUCUUUCUUCGAAUUACCAUGAUCCAAGAUACACUUUUGAUGGUGUCCGGUCACCUGUUCCAUGGUUUGAUGGAUCUGUGCUUGGUAACGGCCAGUAUAGACAGGGCAAUACAGGCGCCAUAUCUUCUCCAGUGUCACAUACCAAUAACUCUUCGUGUGCAAGAAGUCCAAAUCUCCGGCCCCUGCAACAUGGCACGGGUGUGCGAACUGCGAGACCAACCUCUGGGGUAGCGCCCACAUCUCCGGGAAUUAUGAACAGGAUGUAUCCGAACAACCAGAUGUACACCCAGUAUGGAAACGCUUACAGAACUGGCCUGGGGAUUGGACCAAACUUUUAUGAUCCCAGAGCAAUUGGACGCUGGGGUAUUGCUGUCGACAACAAGUACAGACCUAGGGGCCGAGGCAAUGGUUUGUAUGGUUAUAACAAUGAAAAUUUGGAUGGGUUGAGUGAGUUAAACAGAGGACCAAGAGCUGGCCGCUUCAAGACCCCGAAAGUGGCUGGACCCACUGUUACCAUUGGUGACAAGGAUCAUAGUGCAGUACCUGAUAAGGAUCAGUACAACCGAGCAGACUUCGUUGAAAAUUUUCCGGAUGCCAAGUUUUUCAUCAUUAAAUCGUAUAGCGAGGAUGAUCUUCACAAGAGCAUUAAGUAUAAUGUCUGGGCCAGCACACCUAAUGGGAACAUCAAGCUAGAUGCUGCUUACAAGGAAGCUCAACAGAAGCCAGUUGCUUGCCCAGUGUUCUUGUUUUUCUCUGUGAACACAAGCGGGCAGUUUGUUGGUGCGGCUGAGAUGGUGGGUCCAGUUGAUUUCGACAAGACUGUCAACUAUUGGCAGCAAGACAAGUGGACUGGUUGUUUCCCUGUCAAGUGGCAUAUUGUAAAGGAUGUGCCUAACAACCUUCUCAAGCACAUCACGCUAGAGAAUAAUGACAAUAAGCCUGUGACGAAUAGUCGAGAUACGCAGGAGGUGAAGCUCGACCAAGGCCUUCAAAUGCUCAAGUUGUUUAAAGAACAUGCCAGUAGGACUUCAAUAUUGGAAGACUUUCACUUCUAUGAAACCCGGCAAAAGGCGAUGCAGGAGAAAAGGGCAAAGCAACACCACCUUCAGAGACAGAUUGUGGAGGUUAAGGCAAUCAUUGCCGUUGAUGAGAACGACAAGGAUGGGGCAACCGGAAAGCCUAGAUUGCAGAAGCCAUUGGAGAAGGUUACCGUUGCGAAGAAAGAACCUGUGCAGGUUGGCCUUUCAGAGAGGAAGGCAUCUGAUGAAAAUACCGUCGCUGUGGUAGCUGGCAACCCACCAAAGGUCUCAAGGCCAGUACCUGAGAAGCAUAUUCUUACAAAUGGUGUCGCCAAUGGUUGUUAAACCAGCAACGGUAGCAAGA
rnacentral:misc_RNA from 1 species